rnacentral:misc_RNA from 1 species
GCAAACAAAAAAACCACCGCUACCAGCGGUGGUUUGUUUGCCGGAUCAAGAGCUACCAACUCUUUUUCCGAAGGUAACUGGCUUCAGCAGAGCGCAGAUACCAAAUACUGUUCUUCUAGUGUAGCCGUAGUUAGGCCACCACUUCAAGAACUCUGUAGCACCGCCUACAUACCUCGCUCUGCUAAUCCUGUUACCAGUGGCUGCUGCCAGUGGCGAUAAGUCGUGUCUUACCGGGUUGGACUCAAGACGAUAGUUACCGGAUAAGGCGCAGCGGUCGGGCUGAACGGGGGGUUCGUGCACACAGCCCAGCUUGGAGCGAACGACCUACACCGAACUGAGAUACCUACAGCGUGAGCUAUGAGAAAGCGCCACGCUUCCCGAAGGGAGAAAGGCGGACAGGUAUCCGGUAAGCGGCAGGGUCGGAACAGGAGAGCGCACGAGGGAGCUUCCAGGGGGAAACGCCUGGUAUCUUUAUAGUCCUGUCGGGUUUCGCCACCUCUGACUUGAGCGUCGAUUUUUGUGAUGCUCGUCAGGGGGGCGGAGCCUAUGGAAAA